UCCUGCAAUGAAUGAGGAGAAGAUGCAACUGAUGAUGCAACUGCUCCUCACGUCUUACAGCGGGACAGAAAGUGUAACCACUGCUGGUUCAUUCACUCAGAAUGAACCGUUUUCUACAUGGUCCCAUGAGGUGGCGUGAAAAAGCACCGAGUGUUUUGCCACUCAGCCAAACCCCAGUGGAACGGCGGGGUCCGCGGGGUCGCGAGGCGGAUUAAGCCGAGGAGCCGCUCAGCGCCUCGGGCCACGUUUGGAGGAGGACGCGCUUUGGACGGCGGAGAUUAGAGACCGCGGCCGGUGCAAAGAGCCCACUCCCAGGCAGACUCCGAGUCCGUGGGUCAACGACGCUGGUUAUAGCAGACGAGGCAGCUGAGCCGUCAACGCGCUCCUCCUCCCUCCACACGCACCGGCUUCAAGUCCUGGAAUCAGCGAGCGACGGCGGAGGAGCGCGUCAAUGGGCCUGACAGCUCGAACCGGAUCAGCCCAGAGUCAAGUGGACUGUCUGUCUCUCUGUCGUCUGUUUUGUAUUGUUUCUCCUCUGAUAACAGGUCUUUCUAUCCAGUUCAUCAUCCACAGGCCUCGGGCCGCUGCCUCCCCUCCGUCCUCUCUCCCCUCCCUACUCCUCUACCUCCCUCCACCCCCCCACCGCCUCCCCCCUUUCUGUCAAAGCUGAUUGUUUCCACGCCAGCAGAGUGCUGCAGGCGAGCACACUGUCACACUACAUCAGGCAGAGGGGAGACAGGGAGAGAAAGUGUAUGAUAGGGUAUGUAUGUAUUUCUGUGUUCAAAAAGCUCCACACAACAGCGAGAGCGGCGGCGGCAACAGGGAUUCCCAAACUUUUUUUAUGUCAAGGGCAUCUAAAUACAAGACCACACAAUUUUGUCCUGAGGAAUGUUAAUCUGAAAGGACUUUCACUGAUGAUAGAAGUGUGUCAGGCAGGGAGGUAAAUGUGGAAAAGAGGAUGAACGCAGGCAAUGAGCGCGGUCUCUUGGUUAAUCAUACAAAUAAUAUCAAUGCUAACAGUAAACAGAGUAAACAAGUAUAUGUUUAAGAGCUAAAAAGAUUCUGGAUGCUGAAAACACAUUCACCAUAUUUACCCCACUGGGUCAAUUUUGAUCUCAGUGUUUUUUAGUUAUGUGGGUUUGAUAUAAUUAUUAUUUGAUUGUUGUAAUCUACCUAAACUAAAAUAUACCCAUCAAUCAAGCCCACAAGGAGUCAAUUUUAACAAGAUGCAGAAAUCUACAGAAAAAUCUAGUCUGGAUUUUGGAAAGAAGUGUAAAAAAUAUAUUAUAUUGUGCAAAAUGUAAACAAGCAGCUAAUACAGAAUAUAAAGUAUUUGUCAGCAUUUCCUGCCUAAAGAAACAGGUGGAAAUGAUAGAAAUGAAUAAAUGUAAAGUAAAUAUACUCUGGAACAGGAUGUGUUUUAAUUAAAUGCUGCUUGUAAAUGUAAAGAAACGUGUCAGCAAAGAUUUUAAAAUAUCAGAAUAAUCUGAAUAUACGACUAAUAAUAACAA